AUUUGAGUAAAAAACACCCAUUUGCUACUAACUUUAGCAUUUACAGUAGCUAGGACUCGAACUUUUACUUUGGACUCGAACCGCGGUCAACGAUUUGUUUUGGCAGGCAUUUUGAUUUUGAUUUGUUUUCGUUAGUCGGUCGCGAUUUUGGAACGAAAAUGUAGUUUUUCGAUUCCGUUUUGUAGAAAAAAGUUCUGUCGGAACAACAAGUGCGUCGUUAAUGUGUUUGGUUUGCCGUUCUUGGGAAGAUUCAUCACAGGCCGCUGGAAGACACACUUGCCCGGACAUGUCGAAAAAUUGGGGAUUGAAAUCCUCCGGAGCCGAAGAAAUUGAUUUUUGUGUUGGUUCGAAGAUCCGACACAGUCAGGCGAUGAGUUUUUUGACACCGCUGAAAGCUGCUAUUUUUCAUCCGCCGGAGAUUGUAUGCAUUCGACGCUCCGGAAGAACGUUCAUGAUGCCCAAAGUGAAGGACGAAGGCAAAAGACGCAUUGGAAUAAUUUACAAGAAGUCAGCUUGUUUUGAUCUGAGUGGCUGAGGGAAAACACAAAUUUCAGGAAACAGUCGAACAACUGGAAAUCAAGUUAUGGGACUCCCAAUGUUCCUGUACGUUUCCAUUUGGGCAUGAUGGUGGCGAUCACGGCCAAUCUGAGCAUAGUGAUUAAAAUCCUAAACGAGGCAAUAUUGUGUUCGCACAUGUUGAUGAUCGUCGAGGUACCUUGAUUUAUGGAUUGAAGAACAGAUGAACAGGCGAGGAACUUGACGGUCAUGAAGAGAAAACGGAAAAACAUCGUGGAAGAAAAAGCCAACGGUGUUGAGGACCUAAAAGUAUUUCGUACCAGUGUGAAUUAUUUAAUGUUAAUCUAAAUUGUAUAGA